rnacentral:rRNA from 1 species
UACGGAGGGUGCAAGCGUUAUCCGGAUUCACUGGGUUUAAAGGGUGCGUAGGUGGCUUUGUAAGUCAGUGGUGAAAUCUUAGAGCUUAACUCUAAAACUGCCAUUGAUACUGCUUAGCUUGAAUCAAGUAGAGGUGGAUGGAAUAUUACAUGUAGCGGUGAAAUGCUUAGAUAUGUAAUAGAACACCGAUUGCGAAGGCAGUUCACUAUGCUUGUAUUGACACUGAGGCACGAAAGCGUGGGGGAUCAAACAGG